rfam:Halogranum salarium B-1 162.HSB1.1_9, whole genome shotgun sequence.
GGCAGAGAGAGCCCGACUCCCGUGCCUCUCUGAGGCAUGAGGAAAGUCCCCCCACCGUCCGAACAGGUGACCGGGCGCAAGCCCGGAGUCGGAGACGGCUGGCUCUGGAACAGAAACGAGACCACUCGACCCGACCGAUGAGACGUGCGAACCCGACCGCGAGGAAGGGGAGUUAACCCGUCGAGGGCUGCGAGAUGCCACGCAUCUCGACGACGACCGGGCGCUUCGCGCCCACGAGUUGACGGUCGAGAACGGAUGGAACGGCGAAUCCUCACCGGUGCAAGUCCGCGCCACGUGGCGGCCGGACGACACGAUUCGUGUGUCGUUCGUCUGCCCACAGGUAGUUUGGACGACGGACGCGGACGCUCAGCCGAAUGUCGGGAGGAACAGAAGGGGGCUUACUCCUCUCAGCC